rnacentral:lncRNA from 1 species
AAUAAUUAUGAAAAUGGAUAAACAAAAUAAGUAUAAGUACAUGGAAUAUAAUUUAUGUUAAGUUUGAUAUAAGCUAUUACCAGAAUAAAUAUACAUAAAAUAUAUGGAAAUGAUUAAGCAUAAAAUAUUGAUAUAAUGAAAUGAAUGAUAUAUGCUUGUGAAGAAACGGUAAGAGCAUGAUAUGUUUCAUGACAUGUACAUAUAUGAUUAUCUUUGAUAUGUUGAUACAAGAAAAUUAUGUAAUUGAGACUAUUAUUAAACUCAAGUGCGACAUGUCAAGAAAAUAGAUAUAUCAAUGUUGAAUUUAUAUGAGAUAUGUGCAAGUAUACAAACAAUGUUGUUGUUUGAUGCUUAUACAAGUGCCA